CCUACGGGCGGCAGCAGUCGAGAAUCAUUCACAAUGGGGGAAACCCUGAUGGUGCGACGCCGCGUGGGGGAAUGAAGGUCUUCGGAUUGUACACCCCUUUCAUGUGGGAGCAAAUUAAUAAGAUAGUACCACAAGAGGAAGAGACGGCUAACUCUGUGCCAGCAGCCGCGGUAAUACAGAGGUCUCAAGCGUUGUUCGGAAGCACUGGGCUUAAAGCGUGCGUAGGCUGUUUCGUAAGUCGUGUGUGAAAGGCGCGGGCUCAACCCGCGGACGGCACAUGACACUGCGAGACUAGAGUAAUGGAGGGGGAACCGGAAUUCUCGGUGUAGCAGUGAAAUGCGUAGAUAUCGAGAGGAACACUCGUGGCGAAGGCGGGUUCCUGGACAUUAACUGACGCUGAGGCACGAAGGCCAGGGGAGCGAAAGGGAUUAGAUACCCUAGUAGUC
rnacentral:rRNA from 1 species